rnacentral:rRNA from 1 species
GAGGAAUAUUGGUCAAUGGACGGAAGUCUGAACCAGCCAAGUAGCGUGCAGGAUGACGGCCCUCUGGGUUGUAAACUGCUUUUAGUUGGGAAUAAAAAAGAGGACGUGUCCUCUAUUGUAUGUACCUUCAGAAAAAGGACCGGCUAAUUCCGUGCCAGCAGCCGCGGUAAUACGGAAGGUCCAGGCGUUAUCCGGAUUUAUUGGGUUUAAAGGGAGCGUAGGCGGAUUAUUAAGUCAGUGGUGAAAGACGGUGGCUCAACCAUCGUUAGCCAUUGAAACUGGUAGUCUUGAGUGUAGACAGGGAUGCUGGAACUCGUGGUGUAGCGGUGAAAUGCUUAGAUAUCACGAUGAACUCCGAUCGCGAAGGCAGGUGUCCGGGCUGCAACUGACGCUGAGGCUCGAAAGUGUGGGUAUCAAACAGGAUUAGAUACCCUGGUAGUCCACACAGUAAACGAUGUAUACUCGCGGUUUGCGAUAUAAUGUAAGCCGCCAAGCGAAAGCAUUAAGUAUACCACCUGGGGAGUACGCCGGCAACGGUG